rnacentral:rRNA from 1 species
UACGUAGGGGGGCUAGCGUUGUCCGGAAUCAUUGGGCGUAAAGCGCGUGUAGGCGGUCCGGUAAGUCCGCUGUGAAAGUCGGGGGCUCAACCCUCGAAUGCCGGUGGAUACUGUCAGGCUAGAGUACGGAAGAGGCGAGUGGAAUUCCUGGUGUAGCGGUGAAAUGCGCAGAUAUCAGGGAGGAACACCGGUAGGCGAAGGCAGCUUGCUGGGACGGUACUGACGCUGAGACGCGAAAGCGUGGGGAGCAAACGGG